CGCACACGCUACUGUUUAUCGGUUGACUUGUGGCGAGGGGCUUUGCGGAAGCAUCACAUUGACCUUUCGUUUUACGACGUAGAAAAGCGUAGACGUCGGUCUUUUGAGGAAGCCUACUGGCAUGGACACACAACAACUGCAAAUUGACACAACCACUAACGUGGAUAAAGAUCCGUCCCUCAAUUUCCUUUGCCGCUUAUCCUCACAAGGGUCACGGGGUGUGCUGGAGCCUAUCGCAGCUGUUAACGGGCAGGAGGCGGGGUACACCAUGAACUGGUUGCCAGCCAGUCACAGGGCACAGCGAGACAAACAACAGUCCCACUGAAAAUCACACCUAGGUGCACUCUAGGUUGUCCAAUCAAUGUUGCAUAUUUUUUUUAAAUGUUUUAGGAAACUGGCAUGCCCGGAGGAAACCCACGCUGACACGGGGAGAACAUGCAAACUCCACACAGGCGGGACCUCAGAACUGUGGGGCCAACGUUUUUUAGGUGCGCCACCAUGCCGCCUGGAUAAAGAUGAACUUGUUUAAAAUAAUUGCAAUUGUGUAGACGGUGUACAAUCAAACCUUUUACCACCCGUAGCCACUGGAUGGUAGUAUAAGCUUCAACAUGGCAGUGUCACAUUGAGCUUGCUUUCUUCUCGGUCUUUCUUUUUUUUGCCAUUUCUCACUUCAUUGUGUUGCAUUAAGUGAAAGAAACAGGGGUUCCCUUUUAUUAGCACAGAAGGUUCAGGUCUGAGAAAAUAAUUUGUUGAUGCACGUAACCUCCUUUUUACUUUACGUUUUAAACAAAUGAUCAAAUGUCUAAUUGUUGGGAGUUGCUGUGCGAUCUGUCAAGAGGGAAAACAGUUUGCUAAGGAUAAGAUUUACGACAGCUUGACAUACAAGUGGUGAACCAGGAAGAAUGAGACAGAGAGGGACAAAAAAAGAUUCCAUCUGUGUUUAUAAGUCCAAAAAUUCACCAAACUUAAUUGUGGUUGUACAUUCCAAUACCUUUGUUCAAGUGUCUUUGGUGUGAGUCAGUUGACACCUUUGUGAAAGCAAGAGUUCAUCGAGUUUUGAACUGAACUAUUUAGAAGUUUGUUGGCUCACGCAUGCAUUACGACAUUAUAGUGAAAAAUAUGGCCAAAGUCCAUAAGUUUUUUUUAAAACAAAAUUAUUGGAAGUAUCAUCAUGUAUUACACGAGUCUGCAAAUCCUCUGAGACUUUAUCCUAUCUUUCGACACUUGUUGAUGACUGAGCAGCCAAAUUAUGUACUGCGGUAAUUCUUUCACUUGUUGUGGUACCGUUUACCAAAAAAACGAAGGACUAGUGGUGAAGGCAAGCUACAGAACAAAGCUGUGAUGAUGAUGAUGACAGAAGCACCUCAAUUGAUUUCACUUGUCAGGGCUGACCCAACGAUUUGGCAACCCCAAUUGUAGUGGAAAUAUCACGGAAUAUACUCUAAAAUAUAUUUCUAUUGCCUGCAGGUGAUCUUAAUUUUGAAAACACUUGUGGACCAUGUGAAAUGUGGGAUAUCCCAAAAUUUUCAGGGGGAGUAUAUAAUUUGUUAGGGUCACAGGAAUAAGUGAUAAUCAAAAAAAAACAUUUAUGUAUAAUUGGGAUAAGGAGUAACAAAUGUGUAAAAAUGUAAGAUUUCUCAAGUAUUUCGAUUUUAUCUCGUUGUAAACAAUUGUUUGAAGUAGGGACAGGCAACAAAAUGUUCCAGUGUUCAAAGCUAAGUUAAUCUUUUAAAUUGUGUUAGCUAUGCAAUCAAAUCAAUGCACACAAUUUUUUUUUCUCUACAGUUGAUGUUAUUAUGCAUUCAUACAUUUUGUUUCCUUGUGAUGCAAAUUGUACCAAUUGAGUGCUAUACGUGGACUGCUGUAGUACAAAUGGUUGUCUUUUACUCAUUUAACAACGAAUAAUGCAAUGUUGCUUAUUGUGGACAUAUUUCUUUUUAUUAAAAUUUAAAACAGUU